UAGCCAGUAUGGCCUUGAUCUCCUGACCUCGUGAUCCGCCCGUCUCGGCCUCCCAAAGUGCUGGGAUUACAGGCUUGAGCCACCGCGCCCGGCCAAUAAUGUUAACUUUGUGAGUAAGUUAUACUAAUUAGGCAUAGGAAUCAAUGGCAGCUAUUUUUGCCAGUAAACAAAGGAUGCCCAUUAUUUUCAAAUAUUAGAUAUGAGUAUUUUAGGUGGCAAAGUUUUAGGCCUAAAAUAUGUCAUUGAAUUUAUUACCCCAGAAACGCAGCAGGUCAUAUUUUCUGAACAUUGUAAAUAACAAUAGAAAUUAUUGACUAAAAUGUUACCAGCAAGUACUAUCUCACCACAUGAAAAUUGCAAUGAAAUUUUUUAAUUUGUAGUUCAAAUGGAAGACUCAAACAGAUUCUUUUCAUGGAUUCAGGGAAGUGCUAAUGAGGAAGCCUGGUGAUUGAAGCCAAAAAUCUGAAUUCAGGUAAAUAAUUCUGUCAAUAUGUUCUCAGUGGUGUAGAAAAUCAGUAGUUUUGGCCAUGUAUAGGUACUGUUUAGAGUACAUUUAUUUCAGAAAUGUGUGCUAAAUGUAAAAUCAGUUCCCUAGUAUUAAAGUUAAACUCUACAAAUUAUUACUUUACAGUAUGUUGAGAAAAGGGUAUGUUCUAUAUAAAGUAACUUGAGAUUUAUUGUCUGUUACAAACAAAGUUGUGUAAAAUAUAUUUCAUGUGUGCACUGUUGACAUUUGUGCUUGUUGGAAAAAUACUAUCAAUUCUACACAUUUUAAAUGUAGAAAGCUAAAAUCCUCAGAAAGUUAUAAGAAUCUUUAAACGACUGUAUAGCAUUGAAAGUGAAAGUAAAAUACGAGAAUUUUCCAACUAGAGAAGCAAACCAAAGAAGUCAUUUAGGAGAAUAAUCGACUGAGAAGUAAGCGCCCCUGUUAGAUACGGGUGGUCAGAGUGGCCAAAUCCAUGUGGGUUGCCAAACUUGCCAUAAAGCAAAUUUUAAAAACAGACAUAAACUGCAGAUGUCUCAAAUGUGAUAUUUCCCAUAAGUGAAAAGAAAGUUAAAACUUACGUUACACACAGUUAUAGGACUUAUUUUUUAAAUGUUUAAGUCAACACAAUGAGAAAAAUAGGAAAAAAAAAUAUUAAAGAGCAAAAGACUACAAGCUUGACAAGCCAUAUUUGAAAAAGAGCCAAAUACAAACAACCUACUUAAUAUACAACGUAUGGGUUAAAUAUUAAACUUGUCUCAGCUGAUGAGAUUAGUGAACCGAAAUACUGAGCAUGAUUAAUGUAGUUAAACACAGUAAAAAGAGAAAACACCCCCCGACCUCAGCAGAAGGUCUGAGGCCUGGUCCCUGCCCUCCAUCCCUGCCCGGAGCCCGAGCCUCUGAGGCAGUCUCCAAGCCUUUGGGAGUAGCUUCUGAAGAUGAGUUGGUGGUUGAAUUCCUGCAGGACCACAAUGUACCCCUUGUAUCCCACGCCCCUCAGACAUUCACGAUGGAUGAACUGGCUGAGAUGCAGCAGAUUGAAGAGUCAAACUUCCUCCCGCCUCCCCAGAGAGCCCCUGGUGUGGCUGACUUGGCCUUGUCUGAGAACUGGGCCCAGAGUGUCUUUGCAGCUGGAGAUGCUGUGGAUGUAAUUCAGGAUUGUAAUGAGACAGACUGGUCCCAAUCAUUCAUUUCUGAAGUUACAGACCCCUUGGCUGUUCCCCCCCCCCCCCCCCCCCCGCAUUGGGCUGAGGCAUAUUUGGAGCAAUCAGGGGAGAAGCUGUGGUUGGGAGAGCCUAAGGGAGCAGCAGCUGCUGAUCAGUUGGACCAUGAAUGUCAUCCUGAGAAGGAUCUGCAGCACAUGGCCAAUGACUUUGUGGCCAAAGGGGAUGACCCCAAAUUGGCUAAUUCUGAGUACAUCAGAUUCCUGGGUUGAUCAUUCACAAGAGCAGUAAACACAACUGCCCUUGAUAGGGAGUUUGAACGCGCCAAGUCAGCUAUAGAGUUGCAGGCGGAGUUGGAGGAGAUGGCAAAACAAGAUGCUGAUGCUCACCCCUAGCUUUCUGGCUAUGAUGACCUCACAUCAGCUUCCUUUGAUAAGGAGUACCAGUUGGAGAAGGAGAACCCCUUGCGUGAUCACCCUCAGCCUUUCAAAGAAGGGCUGCAGCGACUUCAGGAGCGGUCCCUGCCAAAUGCUGUGCUGCUUUUUGAGGCAGCUAUGCAGCAGAAUCCUAAGAAUAUGGAAGCUUGGCAGUACCUGGGUACCACCCAGGCAGAGAAUGAACAAGAACUGUGAGGCAUCAGAGCAUUGCAGAGGUGUCUGGAGCUAAAGCCAGAUAACUGACAGUACUGAUGGCGCUGGCUGCAGGCUUUACCAAUGAGCCCCUACAGCAGCAGGCCUGUGAAACCCUGCUACACACCAGCCUGUGCCUAUCUGGUGACACCUACUGAAGAAGGGGCUGAUGGGGCAGGACUGGGCGCCAGCAAGCAUAUCUUGGGAUCUCUGUUGUCUGACUCCCUGUUUCUUGAAAUGAAGGAGCUCUUCCUAGCAACUGUGCAACUGGACCCUAUAUCCAUUGACCCCACUGUGCAGUGUGGCUUGCAGGUCCUUUUCAACCUGAGUGGAGAGCAUGACAAGGCCAUGAACUGCUUCACGGCUACCCUCAGUGUUCGUCCCAAUGACUAUUUGCUGUGGAAUGGAAACCAGAGUGAAGAAGCAGUAACUGCAUACUGCCAGGCCCUUGAGCUCCAGCCUGGCUGUAUCCAGUCUCGCUGUAACCUGGGCAUCAGCUGCAUCAACCCUGGGGCUCACUGGCAGGCUGCAGAGCACUUUCUGGAGGCCCUGAACAUGUGGAAGAAAAGCCAGGGCCCUCAGGGUGAAGGAGGUGCCAUGUCAGAGAACACUUGGAGCACCCUGCGUUUCGCAUUCUGUGUGAAGGCCAGAGCGACACCUGUGGGUUGGCUGAUACCCGGGAUCUGUUCACCCUCCUAACCAUGUUUAGCCUGCCCCAGUGA